rnacentral:lncRNA from 1 species
CUGGAUUGUACACGUCAGCAGUCAAUAAAAUUGUACCCAAGAUGUAUCAUGGUCCCAUCAUCCUCUUCCUGGUAUGAGCGUGUUGACACAUUGCACCUAGUUUGGGUGGCCAAUACAAGAGGUUGAAGCGACUGUUGUGGCAAAUAGCACGCUUUUCAAGCGGAAAGACGGUCCUGCGCGAGGAAAGGCAGCCAUCAGCAAACGUUUGACAUUUGGGUUAAAGUCGCGCGACGUUGGACUUGUUCAUUCAAGUUGGGAGUUAGGAGGAAACAGCGUUGCAAACGAAGUUUACAAUGACGGCGAAUGCGAUAAGGUGAAUGAAAGCUGUUGCCGUUGUGUUCCAAAGUCUGUUUUUA